GGAGCAGUGGCUGAACUACCCGACGCCGUGAAGGGGACAAAGAGGGUUCAACUUACUAGCUAUGUGUGUAGUGCUCCUUGAUGGGUGGUGAACAGGUUCAUCACACAAUUACGGAUAAAAAAGGUUUACUGGGAGAGCAUAACUUGUGUCACAAGCUGUAAUGAGAUAUACUCUCCAAGAUGGUUUUACAAGGAACAUGUGAAUGUAGACUUAGGAAUGAAAUUCAAGUGCAUGAAGAAGUCUCAUAGGACAUAUUGGAAUGCCAGCUUGGAACAAAAUAACUUGUGAACUUCAG